AAUUCCAGUAGCGCCGCCUCCUCCCACCGCCCCUCGCCAAACAUCUAGGAGCGCCGGCACCUCUCCGCCUCCAGCAGCGCCGUCACCUCUCCGCCUCCUCCUGAAAGAAGAAAAAUCGCUCCUCCUCCCCACAGCCAUCGCCCAGGCGUGUAUCCUCCGAUCGACAGUCGUCCACCUGCACCUCCCCCACCUGUCUCACGCCGUCCAGGUUUUGGCUCUGCCUUUCUCCCCACACGAACGGGAUCGAUCUUGGGGCACCUCAUUCGAUGUGUAGCCCCCUCCACUCAAUGGUGGUUAGGUUUUUGGUAUUGGGGAUCCUUUUUUCCUACUACUAGUUUGGGGAUGUUCUCUCCUGUCAAUUUUUCACCAAUGUGAAUUGAUUUGAUUUAGAGACAUUUUUCCCUGUGAUUGAUUUUCUUUUCUUCUUCCACAUUCUGGUCUGGUAUGCAACAUCCCCCCUAUUCCUCUAGCUGCCUGGAUUUCUUGAUGCAGGUCAGGUUCUAUUUACACACUGCAUUGAGCCUCACUUCCUUGUACGCCUUUUGUUUCGUUGGUUUAAUAUUGUUUCAUGUAUCUAUUAGUUCAAUAUUUACAUAUGCUUUUGUCCUCUCGUGAAUUGAGUGAAUAAAAGAAUACUUAUGCAGAUGAGUUUUAGCAAAGGAAAACCUAGCGAGAAAAUCCUUCCUUAUCUUUGAUAAGCAAUUUUAAAAUUGUUUAUGCCAAUUUCAGUCUUUCAUAUUUGUUUUCAUGUUUAUUGAAAUGCCUGCCCCAAGUUUUCAUAUUUUCAAUAUAUUUGACCUUUAGCCUUGAUGCGCCAUAUUUAGGACGAAAAAGGCCAUCUCACAGGAUAGGUGUCCUAACUGAAGCAAAGCUGGCUUUAUAUUUGUGGCGAUUCUGGUAGUUCUGUUUGUUUAGAACAUUGUUGGUAUUCAAAAUAUCCAUGACAUGUGAUUUUUUUUUAUCGUAUAGCCAAAAGCCUGAAUAUUCAUGUAUGCACCUUAUGCGGGAUUAGAUUGUGAUUAGCAUGCCCACAACUAAUAUAUUUGGGGUCUGAACUAUGGUUUGAGGUGCUAUGGGAAACAAUGGGUAUAGCUUUUGAUGUUGGAUAUGUUGCUUCUGAUAGAACAGAAUAUGAGCAUCCCAAGCAGGUGUCCCACUUUGUUCAUUAAUGGAUACAUGAGGGAACAGUUGCAUAAGGUGAGUCUUCAUUGCUUUAUUUCAAUCCAUUAGUUAGGAAUCCUACUGCUUAAGAUAUUAAUGUUUUCUCCAAGAGUAAAAAUGCUUCCCAAGUAAUUAUGGGUUAUUAAAUUAUAUUUCGUUAUGAUAUUAAUGAUGUGCUUUUUCAAAAUACAUUAUUGAGCCAAAUUCCUUGGUGUUAUGUAACCUUGAUUCCUUGGUGUUAACUGUUAAGUUUUCUAUUUAGGUCCAAAACAUCAUGCACAUAUAUCUGAACGGGUUUCAAUCACUGCAGAAUAAUUAGCUACCUUCAGGAAUUGGGAUGCCAAUUCCAGUAAUCAUAAUCUUGCUUUUUAUUUAGUAAUGAUAUUGCUAACCAAUUUCAGCUAUUCAUGGAUCUUUUAUGUUAUAAUUGUAAACCUAGACUAAUUUGAAAUAGUUGUGAAAUAAUAAGCUAUGUUCAGGAUCAUAUAUGCUAUUUUUUUCUCUAGAUCUUCCUGAUCAAAUUUACAUGGUUCAAUGCUCUGGCCAUGUUGGAAUUAUCACCACAGAUUACAGAAUGGAGGUAGAUGGAUGGUUAAGCCUCCUACUCCGGCCUUUUUUGCUACAGUUAGCACUGUCCCUUCUAAAGAGAUCCACUACAGUUUGCUGAAUAUUAAGAUAUACCGUUAGCUACUCCACUGUACACAUUUCUUUUGCAGGUUGUUCUUCACCUGACAGGUAAAAGGUCUGAAGCAUCCUUUGCAUAUCCGUGUGCUAAUCUUCUUUUCAUACAUUCUGGUAGGCCAACAUUUAUAGGAUUUUUUGUUGUAUGACAUUUUCCAUAACGAUAUGCGUACAUUCUUGCUUGAUGUGGCAACACCAUUCACUUAUUUUCCUAGAAACAUGCCAGUUUAAUAUUUUCAUAAUUAGAUGUUUGCACACAAUUUUCAUAAAUUGAGGUGUUUAUGGUAGAUUCUAGGAUGAUUGUGUUUAGAGUUUAGACUAAAUGGUUAUUUUUUCCUCGCUUGUGUAGACGAAAUAAGAUAAAUUUAUUGUGAAUUGCAUAUGAUUUUAGAAAUUAAAUUAAUCCGCAUGUUAGUCCAAGUAAAACUCCUGCCACAAUGCUUGCAUGCAUUGCACCACCAGGCCAAAGUAUUUGCCUUGCUACGUAAUCCUAUACUGAACUAUUAAUGAGGGAACUCAUGAAUGUAAGGCUGCUUUGCUGCUCCAAAUAAGGCUCCUACGAGACAUAGAAGUUGUCCUAUUUCUUUGUGUUUGAGUCUCUUCAGUUGCCAGUACUCAAUAUGGAGUUGUUGAUUUGUGAAUUAUUUGUGUAUAAAUGUGCAGAUCGAGGUAUUUCAAUGUUAGGUUUAUAUACAACUACAAUGUCGGAUUCACUUAGAGAAUAAUUUGUUAGAUUUAGGACAAGAGAUGCCAAGUUCAGUAAUACUGAUCUCUUUUAUGUCAAAUUUGUAGUUCAUAUCCACAAUAUUAUACAUGUAUCAGAAAUUCUGAACUAAUCUGAUUCUCUUGUAGAAUAAUCAGAUACAUUCUGGAUCAUGGGUACUAUUUCAGUAUUUUGGGUCUGAAUCUCUUUGGUUGAAUUAGUAGGUUGAAUGUUCUGUUUGUCUGGGCAGUGUUGGAAUUCUCACUACAACUUACAUAAUCAACUGCUCUUGUUGGGUGACAGUUAAUACUACAUUGGCUUCUUGUAAAGAAAUGCAUAGACAGUUCACUGAACAUUAAGACUUAUACCCAGAUAUUGGACAAGUCCCUUUUGGUAUUUUUGGGCCAACCUUUAUAUGAGUAUGUAUUCCCUGAAAAUACAGGUACCUGAAAUAUUUACUGCGGCUGUUAUAUAUUCUAACAUCUUGCUCUUCACAUCUCUUAUGCAGGUUGUUCUUUACCUGGAGCUUUAUGCAAACUGUAUGGUGUACAUCAUGCUACUAGCAGACUAGUUAUCAUCACUGUUUCCGUCGGCAACAAUUAGCUUUUGCUGAUUUUAACCUGAUUGCACAUAACCUCUUUGCAAUCACAAUGGUAUUAGCAAUUCGUCCUUUUUUUUCAGAACAUCAGUGUUCUCUCAUGCCUUCCUUGUAAGUAGAAAUACUACAAAUUAUUCUUAGCUUUAUCGGACCACUUGCAACCAUGUGUCCUACAUUCUAGGGCGUGUUCGGUUCC